GUAGGGAAUCUUCCACAAUGGACGAAAGUCUGAUGGAGCAACGCCGCGUGAGUGAAGAAGGUCUUCGGAUCGUAAAACUCUGUUGUUAGAGAAGAACGUGCGUGAUAGUAACUGAUCAUGUAAUGACGGUAUCUAACCAGAAAGCCACGGCUAACUACGUGCCAGCAGCCGCGGUAAUACGUAGGUGGCAAGCGUUGUCCGGAUUUAUUGGGCGUAAAGGGAACGCAGGCGGUUUUUUAAGUCUGAUGUGAAAGCCUUCGGCUUAACCGAAGAAUAGCAUUGGAAACUGGAAGACUUGAGUGCAGAAGAGGAGAGUGGAAUUCCAUGUGUAGCGGUGAAAUGCGUAGAUAUAUGGAGGAACACCAGUGGCGAAAGCGGCUCUCUGGUCUGUAACUGACGCUGAGGUUCGAAAGCGUGGGUAGCAAACAGGAUUAGAAACCCUUGUAGUCC
rnacentral:rRNA from 1 species